rnacentral:RNase_P_RNA from 1 species
GGAGUGGUUCGGGUGAACGCGGGGCCGGCGCCGCCGGCCCUGAGGAAAGUCCGAGCUCCACAGGGCAGGAUGCUGGGUAACGCCCAGGGGGGGCGACCCCACAGAAAGUGCCACAGAAAACAGACCGCCCGGCUCGCGCCGGGUAAGGGUGAAAAGGUGAGGUAAGAGCUCACCGCGUCGCCGGCGACGGGGACGGCACGGCAAACCUCAUCCGGAGCAAGGCCAAAUAGGGGAGGAGAGGUGGCCCGCCUCGCAACGACUCCCGGGUAGGCCGCACGAGGCGGCGGGCAACCGCCGUCCCAGAUGAAUGCUCACCCGGAGACCGGCACCGCCGGCUUCCGACAGAACUCGGCUUACAGAACCACUCCGGCC